rnacentral:misc_RNA from 1 species
AAAGUGCGAAACGUAGUGCGAUUUGCAUGAAUCUGUGAGUCAUCUAAUCUUUGAACGCAACUUGCGCCUCGCGAGAGGCAUGUCUGUUUGAGUGCUGCGACAACAUGUACGUACUGUACACGCGCGGUUCGUCCGUGAGUGUGCGACUUGGCUGUGCUGCUGCUGCGCUUGCGCGUGCGUGGCUUGGCCUAAAAGCAGUAUGACCGUUGCGGCCAUUGCUGGGCCUGCCCGAGUGCCAAGCAUUCUUGGAGCGGGCCUGUGCCAGUGGAGCGGCUUCUUUUCUCCUCUACUUGGAGCAGCAAAGAAGCGCUACUCUCUAUACCACGGCCUCAAAUCAGGCAAGACUACCCGCCGAACUUAA